GCCGCCUCGCUCCCUCCCACGCACCCGCCUCCCUUCCUCUUCCUCCCGCCCCUAGCGCCGCCACCGCUGCCUCCUUCCCCGUCGUCGUCCUCCUCCUCUCCUCACGUCCUCCUCCUCCCAUCCCUUCGAUCUGGCGCCGCCAAAACCCUAACGCCCCGCCCCGGCCCCGGUUCCCACGGGAGGGAAGGAGGAAGGCGAGGCAAAGGCGGCGUCAUAUGGCACGCGGCGCGGGCGGCGUGGCCCAGGGGGUCGGCGCGGGCGGCGUGGCCCAGGGGGGUCGGCGCAGGCGGCGUGGCCUAGGGGGGUCGACGCGGCCGCGGCUUCUCAUCGUCUCCGCCGUCGCCUCGAUGCUGCUCCUCAUCGUCUCCGCCGUUGCCUCGGCGCUGCUCCUAAUCGUCUCCGUCGUCGCCUCGGCGCUGCUCCUCCUCGCCUUCCACCUCUGGUUCCGGAUCUGACGCCGCACGUCGUCUGCCAUUUGCUCGGUUGCCACCAUUGGAAAGGGUUUCAUGACAGGGUCGUUUCUUGGUACGUGGAUGUUGUUCCUCGGAUGUGGAAAAAGAAUGGAGCCGGAGGAAAAGAGGAAGUAAAAGCUCUGCCACCUCCAUGCCCGUGUGUUGCUUCCUUCUUACCUGAAGUAUGUAUUAGUCAAGUUCCUAAUCCUACAAGCCAUGCGGCAAGUAGCAGCUUGAUGCCGUUGUUUUUGGUAAAAAAAUCCCCUAUCGUUUCACUGCUGGCCUAUGUUGAAGUUUGUUAUAGCUUGUUGUUGAUUUGAUCCAUGUGCUGAAAGCAAUUGAACUUAAUUUUUCAUAUGUAGAUGCAAUCUUUCUUUUCUUGUAUGGGAAAGAGCAGAGCACUAGCUAGAAUUGACAUAUCUAUCUCAUGAGGUGUGCUUGUGUUUGAUGUACUCUGCUAAUUAUGAAAUAUAUAGCUCUUUUGAUAGAUGCAUGUUCACUUCCUUUUUGUUUCUUUUGAUUUGUUUGGCAACUCUUGGGCUGAAGUGGUAUGUGAAAUGUUGCAAUAAUGCCGAAUAAUGUAAACAAAGUGUAAGAAUGUUUCUCCAAGACCAGUAGGCAUUCCAAUAUAAAAUAUUAAUUCCCAUUUGAUGUCAGUUUUACAUUUCGUUUCCAACUGUCAAAAGAUGAAUAAUAUCCUUAGAAAUAAGACAUCAGAGCUUUGUAUGUGUUAUUCAAUGAGAUACAACUGCUAAACAAUUGCUAUGCAGGCAACAUCUGCUUAUUUUACAUGCUGAUUUUCUUAACUGCAUUAACUUCCAAAAUAUUUAUUUUGUUGAGCAGGAAAUAUCGGUCUACUGUUGGAUAAGAAGUUCUCUUUGUAAAAAGGAUUUUUUAUGUUACGUACUUUGCUUCUAGACCACCAAUUAUUUUGUCAAUAAGUUCAUAUAAUUUAUCGUUUGAGUUCCACCCAUUGCAUUCUUCUGCUAAGUUUGUUUUUUACCCAAAUCUCACAGUUUGUGGAUCUGGUUUUUGUUGCAGUUAUGCGCCGGUUGGACGGCGUUCAGGCGCAACCCCGGCACCCACUGAGUACUGCCUCUGCUACAACCUCCCUCGGUGAGCUCCAUCUUCCUCCCACUCCUCUGCUUCGGCUACUGUAUGGGGCAUGGCCGUGGCUAUGUUAUGUGGUGCUCGUCUAGUUGAUGCUCUAUGCCCUACUCAUGCAUCAGUUCCUACCUGCUUCGGCUACUGUAUGGGGCAUGGCCGUGGCUAUGUUAUGUGGUGCUCGUCUGGUUGAUGCUCUAUGCCCUACUCAUGCAUCAGUUCCUACUUGAGCUCUGUAGUUGUGGAUCCAUGCUAUUCUAGGGUUUGCAUGUUGUUGUUCAUGUUUACUUGCUAUCAUAGGAGCUCAUGUAAUGCUCUGGUUUACAUGUGGAUGCCCUGGUCCUAUAGCUAUGCUCCUGGAUUUGAUUUCAGAUGCGUUUUGGGCCGUUGGAUCUUGCCUGCCCGCUGGAUCAAAAAGAGACACUUAGCUGGCGCAGGGCUAUGAUGAUCGGUUAUGGCUGAUAUAAGCAUGCUCUGUAGCAAUCGAGGCGCUUGUGGGUAUUAAGUUUGAUCUCCCCUUGUUUCUUUAAGCCAUUUUGAUCAUGUGCUUAUUUUAGUGGCUCUGCCCUUGGAUGGUCAUUUCUGAUGAGUGAUAACCAGGGCAGUUUCACACUUGUGAGAACACAUUGAUCUGCCGAUGGAGACACUAGGGGAAGGGUCAUGAUCGAGCAAAGGCGAAUCUGAGCCCAUUCAAAUGCAGUUCUGGUCUCAAGCACAGUGUGCUAUGUUGUUGUCGUUCUGUGUUUGUAUUUAGCGCCUCUUUGGUUUGUAGGAAUUUAAGAACACAUCCAGAAAUAAGAACCGCAGUAGGUUCCUGGCUCUCUCAGAGUUUAGCGAGUCUCGGCCGUCCGAUUGAACUGCUUGAUGCGUUUCCAGCCAUAGUAUCUCACGGUGGGACGAGUUGGGCCGUUGGAUGGAAGCCGUUGCACUGUAGCAAUGAAUCGUUACCGUGAUAUGUACGGCCAGUCGGCGCGCUCCAACGGUCAAAUAUGUCGUGCCACCGCCGAUAAUUAUCGUGCCCUGCCGAGGGCAUUUUCAUCUUUUCAGCUUUUACCCUUGUGUGUGCUGGCUCCUGGUUAGUCUGUGCGUCGAUAAGGUGAAGGAGGCCAUUCUUUCUAGGGCGAUGAUGAUUAAUCGUGAUUGAAAUAAGUGUGCAUUUGAGCAAUCGAGGCACCUGUGAGUAUCGAGUUGGAUCCUCCCUCUUGUCUCUCGAAUCCUUUUUGAUCAGGUGAUACUUAUUGUUCUGUCCUUGGAUGGCCGCUCUUGUUGAGAGGUAACCAGGGCAGCUCCAUUGUAUAAACAGAUUGAUCUGGUGAUAAGAGAUGACGGGAGUAGGUUAUAUGAUCGAGGAAAGGUGAAUCUGAGCCCACCAUGCAAUGGACCCUUUAUUUGUAUUUAAAGGUGUCGCUUAUUUAUGCUCCACUGUUUAUAGCCGUCUUGUGUAUAGAUUUCUUCUCUUUCCUAUCUUUAUUGCAUAUAAUUUGUUCUUGAUAUUUAUUGUUUGUUGUUGGUCCUUGAUUUAAUCUGGUUAAAAGUAGGUUGAACUUUAUUAUGCUAGAUAGACUCGCUCCCAGUAUUUAUAGUUGUCUUAUGUAAUGAUUUCACUGUUGUACUGUUAGCAUCUUGAUGUGAUAAUUUGGUUACUUAGUUUGUUUUUGGUUCAAUUGGUCCCUUAGUUACUUCCUCGGUCCACCUGGUUGCGACCGAAUAGAUUUUCUGUAUUUUUGUAUAUUUUGCUCAAAUCCCAUGCACCAUUUAUGCCUUUUCUGUACAUUUUUAAAAUUCUGAGCUUCAUGAAAGUGGAACAUUUCUGUUCUCUUGUUGGUUAUAAAGAUAGCAGUUCGCAGGUUGUUUUUAUUCUUACUAUAAUUUUGUAAUUGCUUUUCCAUGUAUCUUUUAAGCAUUGAAGGGCACAACUAAUUAUAUUGUUUUUGUUUGGCUGGCAGUCCAUAUGCUGGUCCUUUUAGUGCAGAUGGCAAUUUAUAAGGUGCUGGUGCAUCUUGUGCAGCGAAGCUUUAGUACCAAAGCAUUUGAGUAAAUCAAAUUAAUAAUCUCUUUUCUGGGUCCUGGAAUGAUAUUUGGAACAAUUUAAUACUCUCCAUGAGAUUUUUAGUUCAUAUCCUGGAUAGUAGAAAACAUAGCUUUAUCGUUUGUCUCUAAGAUUAUUUUCAUGUCCAUGUGCUUUAUCGUUUAAUGCCUGGCUCAUGUAACCUUUCCAAGGAAAAAAUGUGUUAUUAAUUUCUGUAGGGUGGGAUGAUGCUUCAUGUCCUUUGUAUAGUUAAAUCUAAAUGCAUGUAUUAUAAAUCUAUGUUGAACUUGAUGUUGCCUUAUGAUCUUAUGCCUUCUAUCACAAAUGAAUGUUUCUUCUUCACUUUAUUUUGUUAUCAUGUUUGAAUUCAUAUGCUAUACGUAGAUUCCUACUAACUUAGUACUACUUGCUUCAGCAAAAUGUCGCACCCUCGUGCCACAAGGCUGCCGAUCUCCUUGCUUCCAGGUCAAGGAAGGAAACCAUGUCAUCAUUGGCCAGUGCAGGUUGCCGCCGGAACCAGAUGGGGUCUCCAGCCAUCCUGCCAUGUGGCUUGCAGUCCUGAUUGUUGGCAGUUAUCCUUACAUAUGUAUAAGGGUUUUAGUACUUUGUUAGUAUGACAAAGUGAAGAUAGAACUGAUGUAUUGAAUUACUAAUGGAGUGGUUUUGAUGAGAACUGAAACCUUUUGCUUCCAAGGUUGGACAUUGAUAUUUAAUAGAGAAAUUCAGUUCAUAUGGAGCAAAGCAAAUGAAUGUAAUACCUUGCAUUGACAGUGAUUAUUUUCCCAUUGUGGUACUUCCAAUCUUUUGAAGAAUUUAUUUCAUGACUGAG